rnacentral:rRNA from 1 species
UACGGAGGAUGCGAGCGUUAUCCGGAUUUAUUGGGUUUAAAGGGUGCGUAGGCGGACUGUCAAGUCAGCGGUAAAAUUGAGAGGCUCAACCUCUUCCCGCCGUUGAAACUGGUGGUCUUGAGUGGAUGAGAAGUACGCGGAAUGCGUGGUGUAGCGGUGAAAUGCAUAGAUAUCACGCAGAACUCCGAUUGCGAAGGCAGCGUACCGGCAUCCAACUGACGCUGAGGCACAAAAGCGUGGGGAUCAAACAGG